rnacentral:rRNA from 1 species
UACAGAGGGUGCAAGCGUUGUUCGGAAUUAUUGGGCGUAAAGGGCGCGUAGGCGGUGCGGUAAGUCUGUAGUGAAAUCUCUGGGCUCAACUCAGAGUCUGCUGCAGAAACUGCCGUGCUUGAGUGUGGGAGAGGUGAGUGGAAUUCCCGGUGUAGCGGUGAAAUGCGCAGAUAUCAGGAAGAACACCCGUGGCGAAAGCGGCUCUCUGGAACGGUACUGACGCUGAGACGCGAAAGCGUGGGGAGCGAACAGG